CUUUGAGUCUAUUCUGUGUCAAAACAAGCAAGAAAGAAUUUCAAAACUUCCUACCAGUCUUUCCAAUUGUAUGAGGAAAAGCCAAAGACCAGCACAUGAAAGAAAUAUGAUCGUAAUUCAACAUAAAGCAAAGAAAGUCUAUCAACCGACAGGUUGCUGGGUUCGUGGGAGUAUUCAGAUUUGGAAAAGGGUGCAUCUUAGAGGCCUGGUAAGAAGAAAACUCAUUGUUCGAUUCAGAACUCAUUUCCCUCAAUCUGGAUCUGGGUCAAUGACGUGAAAAGAUAGGGGUAAGUUUCAGUGAUCUGAAACAAAGGUGAAAGGAACAACGAUUGGAGCAGAUGCUUGGAAAGCCAAGUGCUGCAAGCCACCACUAAGUUUUUAACUGACAAACUUUCUUUGUUGAAACAGGGGC
rnacentral:lncRNA from 1 species